rnacentral:rRNA from 1 species
GAUGAACGCUGGCGGCGUGCCUAAUACAUGCAAGUCGAGCGAAUGGAUUGAGAGCUUGCUCUUAUGAAGUUAGCGGCGGACGGGUGAGUAACACGUGGGUAACCUGCCCAUAAGACUGGGAUAACUCCGGGAAACCGGGGCUAAUACCGGAUAACAUUUUGAACCGCAUGGUUCGAAAUUGAAAGGCGGCUUCGGCUGUCACUUAUGGAUGGACCCGCGUCGCAUUAGCUAGUUGGUGAGGUAACGGCUCACCAAGGCAACGAUGCGUAGCCGACCUGAGAAGGUGGUCGGCCACACUGGGACUGAGAGACGGCCCAGACUCCUACGGGAGGCAGCAGUAGGGAAUCGUCCGCAAUGGACGAAAGUCUGACGGAGCAACGCCGCGUGAGUGAUGAAGGCUUUCGGGUCGUAAAACUCUGUUGUUAGGGAAGAACAAGUGCUAGUUGAAUAAGCUGGCACCUUGACGGUACCUAACCAGAAAGCCACGGCUAACUACGUGCCAGCCGCCGCAGUAA